GAUGAAGAACGUAGCGAAAUGCGAAAAGUAGUGUGAAUUGCAGAAUUCAGUGAAUCAUCGAAUCUUUGAACGCACAUUGCGCCCACUGGUAUUCCGGUGGGCAUGCCUGUUCGAGCGUCAUUAUCCUCCCUCAAACCCCGGGUUUGGUGUUGGACCCAAGUUGUGUGAACAACUGGUCUCAAAGACAAUGACGGCGUCCGUGGGACCCUCGGUGCAACGAGCUUUUAGGAGCACGCGCCGAGUUGCAAGGACCUUCCGGGCCGGUCUCCUUUACUAUUUUACAAGGUUGACCUCGGAUCAGGUAGGAAUACCCGCUGAACUUAAGCAUAUCAAUAAGCGGAGGA
rnacentral:misc_RNA from 1 species